rnacentral:rRNA from 1 species
CUACAGAGGGUGCGAGCGUUAAUCGGAAUUACUGGGCGUAAAGCGCGCGUAGGCGGCUUGGUCAGUCGGAUGUGAAAGCCCUGGGCUCAACCUGGGAAUUGCAUUCGAUACUGCCAAGCUAGAGUAUGGGAGAGGGAAGUGGAAUUUCCGGUGUAGCGGUGAAAUGCGUAGAUAUCGGAAAGAACACCAGUGGCGAAGGCGACUUCCUGGCCCAAUACUGACGCUGAGGUGCGAAAGCGUGGGGAGCGAACAGGAUUAGAUACCCCUGUAGUCC